GUCAGCCGCCGCGGGAACACCGGCGGCCCGAGUGGUGAUCGUGAUUAUUGGGUCUAAAGGGUCCGUAGCCGGUUUGGUCAGUCCUCCGGGAAAUCUGAUAGCUCAACUAUUAGGCUUUCGGGGGAUACUGCCAGACUUGGAACCGGGAGAGGUAAGAGGUACUACAGGGGUAGGAGUGAAAUCUUGUAAUCCCUGUGGGACCACCUGUGGCGAAGGCGUCUUACCAGAACGGGUUCGACGGUGAGGGACGAAAGCUGGGGGCACGAACCGGAUUAGAUACCCGGGUAGUCCCAGCCGUAAACGAUGCUCGCUAGGUGUCAGGCAUGGCGCGACCGUGUCUGGUGCCGCAGGGAAGCCGUGAAGCGAGCCACCUGGGAAGUACGGCCGCAAGGCUGAAACUUAAAGGAAUUGGCGGGGGAGCACAACAAACCGGGUGGAGCCUGCGGUUUAAGUGGACUCAACGCCGGACAACUCACCGGGGCGACAGCAAUAUGUAGGCCAAGCUGAAGACUUUGCCUGAAUCGCUGAGGGGAGGUGCAUGG
rnacentral:rRNA from 1 species